CUCUGCCUGACACUCUUUCCCUGUUGCACUACUGUGGGAGCUGUGGCAUUAAAGCAGUGCAAUAAUGAAAGGGCAUCAGUCAGCUG
rnacentral:pre_miRNA from 1 species